ACCAGGCAUGGUGGCGCGCGCCUGUAAUCCCAGCAGUUUUGGAGGCUGAGGCAGGAGAAUCAUGAGUUCAAAGCCAGCCUCAGCAAAAGCAAGGCACUAAGCAACUCAGGGAGACCCUGUCUCUA
rnacentral:sRNA from 1 species